rnacentral:rRNA from 1 species
UACACUCCUGCGGGAGGCAGCAGUGGGGAAUAUUGGACAAUGGGCGCAAGCCUGAUCCAGCCAUGCCGCGUGAGUGAUGAAGGCCCUAGGGUUGUAAAGCUCUUUCACCGGUGAAGAUAAUGACGGUAACCGGAGAAGAAGCCCCGGCUAACUUCGUGCCAGCAGCCGCGGUAAUACGAAGGGGGCUAGCGUUGUUCGGAUUUACUGGGCGUAAAGCGCACGUAGGCGGACUAUUAAGUCAGGGGUGAAAUCCCGGGGCUCAACCCCGGAACUGCCUUUGAUACUGGUAGUCUUGAGUUCGGGAGAGGUGAGUGGAAUUCCGAGUGUAGAGGUGAAAUUCGUAGAUAUUCGGAGGAACACCAGUGGCGAAGGCGGCUCACUGGCUCGAUACUGACGCUGAGGUGCGAAAGCGUGGGGAGCAAACAGGAUUAGAUACCCCUGUAGUCCCAUGAU